rnacentral:rRNA from 1 species
CGCCUCUUGUGUAUUAAAGUUCAGAGGGUUCCCGCCUGCUCAGUGGCACUACGUUCAACGGCCGCGGUAUUCUGAUCGUGCGAAUGUAGCACAUUCGCUAGUGUUAUAAAUGAAGACCCGAAUGAAUGGCAUGACGAGGGCUUAACUAUCUCCAUUCUCCGGCCAAGGAAUUGAUCUCCCCGUGCAGAAGCGGGGCUACAACCAUAAGACGAGAAGACCCUGUGGAGCUUUAGACGCCAGGUCAGACCUUGUUAAACACCCCCCAACAUGGGAAACAACGAAAGGGCCCUGUCCUACUGUCUUCGGUUGGGGCGACCCCGGAGAACACAAAACCUCCAUGUGGAAUGGGAGUACUUCUCCCACAACCAAGAGUAGCUACUCUAAGCAAUAGAAUCUCUAACCAAAAGAUCCGGCAAAGCCGAUCAACGAACUAAGUUACCCCAGGGAUAACAGCGCAAUCCCCUUUCAGAGUCCCUAUCGACAAGGGGGUUUACGACCUCGAUGUUGGAUCAGGACAUCCUAAUGGUGCAACCGUUAUUAAGGGUUCGUUUGUUCAACGAUUAAGUCCU